GAGUUUGAUCCUGGCUCAGGAUGAACGCUGGCGGCGUGCUUAACACAUGCAAGUCGAGCGAAGCGAUUUAAAUGAAGUUUUCGGAUGGAAUUUAAAUUGACUGAGCGGCGGACGGGUGAGUAACGCGUGGGUAACCUGCCUCAUACAGGGGGAUAACAGUUGGAAACGACUGCUAAUACCGCAUAAGCACACAGUGCCGCAUGGUACGGUGUGAAAAAACUCCGGUGGUAUGAGAUGGACCCGCGUCUGAUUAGGUAGUUGGUGAGGUAACGGCCCACCAAGCCGACGAUCAGUAGCCGACCUGAGAGGGUGACCGGCCACAUUGGGACUGAGACACGGCCCAAACUCCUACGGGAGGCAGCAGUGGGGAAUAUUGGGCAAUGGGCGAAAGCCUGACCCAGCAACGCCGCGUGAAGGAAGAAGGCUUUCGGGUUGUAAACUUCUUUUAUGUGGGACGAAAAAAAUGACGGUACCGCAUGAAUAAGCCACGGCUAACUACGUGCCAGCAGCCGCGGUAAUACGUAGGUGGCCAAGCGUUGUCCGGAUUUACUGGGUGUAAAGGGCGCGUAGGCGGGAAUGCAAGUCAGGUGUGAAAUCCCUCGGCUCAACCGAGGAACUGCAUUUGAUACUGUACAACUUGAGGG
rnacentral:rRNA from 1 species